UAAUAGAUGUUUAUUUUAUUCCUUUACAGGCUGAACUAGAGUGGUGGCAUAUGAAUCAAUUGUGAAACAAAACUUAAUUUCAGAUUGAAAGGUACGCAUAAAGUGUUGAUUAUAUAAUGGUAACAUUUAGCUCAUUGAUAGGAAAAAUAUAUGGUAGUUAUUUUCUGAAAUAAACUAAAACAUAUGCAAAAGUGCAUAUUUGCAUACACUAUUUUAAGUACACUUAUAUCCAUUUGUAAAUAUGGGUAAUUAUUCUGCGGAAAUAAGAUAUGAUUGAGUUAUUUCACUUAUGGGUACUAUAUUUGAAUAUAACUUCGUUUGCCUGAAGCUUUACUGUCAAACAACAUGUGUGAAGUCUUUUCCCCAGAAAACGAAAAAUCACAAAAUUUGUUUUUGUAUGUAAUUCCUUUUUGCGAAAUGGUACUUGAUUGAAACAUGUACAUGUAUACUACAAAUGUUUUAGUCUUACUGAAAGGCGUACAGUUCUAUAAAAUGUAGUUAUUAAAUCCAAUUGCCGCACAUAUAAUACUUUGCAUUAAGAUUUUGAUGGAUAAUCGUGUUAAUAUGUGUUGGUCAAAUCAUCUCAUGUCUACGAGAACUAACAUUACUACUUUUGAACAAUUUGUGUACAAUCUAUAUAAACUUGUUACGCUUAUCUAAUACUACGAAAAUGACAAUAUCAUUGUAUAUCAUAUAUGUUUUAUUUUUUAUUUUAGGUCUCUCUGACUGAUUUCAACGCUGCAAAAUGGGGUUUAUAAAUCCAUUGAAGUAUACGAAAGACAUUUCAAAGAAUUGAAAUCGACUAAAUCAAUUUGAAAACAAAAAGAAAUGUAUUAAUGUGAUAAGAAUAGCACGUUAACAUGUUUAAUUAUAAUGCAGAUUAAUUGAAGUUGAGUGAAUUAUACAACCAUAAAGAAUGGGAAUAUGUAUCCACACACUUAAGUGGACAGUUAUUUUAAAUAUCAUGAAUAUUACGCCAAAAGAUAAUUCACUGGCUAGAAAAUCUGCUGAUAUACAGUACUUUCCGCGAGGAUUAUCCGAAAGAAAAUUCGAGGAUUUAACGAUGUACAAUUCCUUUCCGGAGGAUUAACGAGUCCGGUCAAGCAUAUGCAUUUCAAGUAUUUGAAAACCGAUAAGAUGGAUUGUUGUCAAGGACACAACAACUAAGAACGAAAAAGCAUGCUAGGAUUGUUUGUUGACUGUCCCUUUGGUAUCUGUCGUCCCUCUUGUAAGAACAUGUUAGUAGUAAUUCAAUUUUAUAAAACAAACAUUGUCAAAGAUAAAUACAUAAAGAUAAUCAAACAUAAGUAAAUAAACUCAUCAUAGAUACCAAGAUCAAAAUUUUAUAUUUACGCCAGACGCGCGUUUCGUCUAAAAAAAAGACUCAUCAAUGACGCUCGAAUAAAAAAAAAUGUUUAAAGGCCAAAUAGAGUACAAAGUUAAAGAGCAAAUUAGUUUAAAAAACAAAAACAAUACUUCUCUUUAUCAAUUUAACUUCUUGCGACCGAUAAUUUGAUUGUUUUAUUGAAUCACAAAAAUCGCAGAGGUCCAUGGCACGUCACGUCUAAAAUAUUGUUUUUCGAAUUCUCAAUCUGUAUAUUUUGCACUUUUCUACUAUAAGAUGCACAUUGUUAGGUAUCAUUGAAGAUUAAAUAUGUUAAAAAUUGUUAUUUUCCGUUGUUUUCCUUUAAGGCAUCAUGUACACAAACUUGUUGAGUAACCACAUUUAUCUUUAUACUCCUACAAUUCAAAAUAGUGAAUGUAUAGUUAUCCGAUUGCUGUACAACUUUCAGAUAAAUUCGAGCUAUACAUUUUCUUGUUAUUUAAUCUGUACAUACUUUUGAAUGUAUUUAACAUAAAUAACUAAUUUUGAAAUAGCGUAAACUAUGCAAUAGAUGUUCUUUUACUAAGAUAGUAAAUGAAAUA
rnacentral:lncRNA from 1 species